AUUGAACGCUGGCGGCAGGCCUAACCCAUGCAAGUCGAGCGACCGGCGGACGGGGGAGUAAUGUAUGGGGACUGCCCGUUAGAGGGGGAUAACUACUGGAAACCGUGGCUAAUACCGCAUAUUCUCGGACUAUCCAUAUGGGAUUAGCUAGUGGGUAAGGUAAUGGCUUACCUAGGCGACGAUCCCUAGCUGGUCGGAGAGGCUGAUCGGCCACACUGGAACUGAGACACGGCCCAGACUCCUACGGAGGCAGCAGUGGGGAAUAUUGCGCAAUGGGCGCAAGCCUGAUGCAGCCAUGCCGCGUGUAUGAAGAAGGCCCUCGGGUUGUAAAGUACUUUCAGUCGGGAGGCGUUACCGACAGAAAAAGCACCGGCUAACUCCGUGCCAGCAGCCGCGGUAAUUC
rnacentral:rRNA from 1 species